UUGCACAGAAGUCUCAUGAUCUUGAUUUUUGCUUUCCAGAAUGGCUGAGUGACUGAGCCAAGUGCUUGAGGAAGAAAAUGGAAGCCACUUGGACUUCUUGUCUCUCCAAGGGGAGAACAUCUCUGAGCAAUUUGGGAAAAUACUACUUGUAACCAGAGAUAACUGCAAGAAGCAGUUCUAAGCUGGAAGACAGAAAGAAAGAAACACCUAGCAUCUUGCUUGGAUGUUAACAGCAGUUGAUGGCCAUGUCCUCUCUGGAAGACAGAGCAGAUCAACAAAAUGCAAUAAGCAAGAAAGCCCUUUUGGAUCCCUCACUACCUGAAGACGGCACCAGGUGUUUCUGCUGCUAAGUGUUGAAAGAGAAACACAGAGCCCUGAACUUUGAAGACUUGGCAGGUGAGGAGAAGGAAAAAUCUUUUCACUUCCCAUUUAAAUUUAAGCUUAAUCUGCAUUUGUUGCGUCUGGUAGAAAUAUUUGAGCUUUUAAUUUAAUGUUGUUGGUUUUGGGGAAACUUCUUGGGAUGCAUGGCAUGAAAACACCUUAGAUAUGUGGCAAGGUUUUGAUUUAAUUUCUACUUUCAUCUGUUUUCCAUUACAAACCAGACUAAUUGCAAUAAGAUUCUCUGUGGCAAAAAGUACUAGGGGAAGUGUGAAUUUGGAAGUUUUCUCACUUUGCAGUAACUGUAAAACCAGUCAGCAAACAGGCUUUAAAAUGAUUUCGUAUUGGAGGGAGCAAAGGCUGGUUGUCUUCAUAGUAGCAGGAUUUCACUGGCACUAUCAAGUUUUCAAAGCUCUCAAAUUCAACCUAUUCAUAUUUAUAGAAAAGUUACUUUUCACACUUAAAUUGCAUUCACUCCUGUUUUAGAGACUUAAAAUCCUAGCAUGAGCUGACAUGCCCCUGGUGUUUGAAGUGCCAAUGUUAAAACUGUGUCCACAUUUUGCUGUUAAACAGCUGACGGAUGGGUAUG